rnacentral:tRNA from 1 species
GGAGGGGUGGCCGAGCGGACGAAGGCGCCUGACUCGAAAUCAGGUGUGCGGGCUAUACCCGCACCGGGGGUUCGAAUCCCUCCCCCUCCGCCG